UACGUAGGUGGCAAGCGUUGUCCGGAUUUACUGGGUGUAAAGGGCGUGUAGGCGGGUGUUUAAGUCAGUGGUGAAAUACCGAAGCUCAACUUCGGGGCUGCCAUUGAAACUGGGCAUCUUGAGUGCAGGAGAGGAAAGCGGAAUUCCUAGUGUAGCGGUGAAAUGCGUAGAUAUUAGGAGGAACACCAGUGGCGAAGGCGGCUUUCUGGACUGUAACUGACGCUGAGGCGCGAAAGCGUGGGGAGCAAACAGG
rnacentral:rRNA from 1 species